rnacentral:rRNA from 1 species
UACGUAGGGCGCAAGCGUUGUCCGGAAUUAUUGGGCGUAAAGAGCUCGUAGGCGGCCUGUCGCGUCUGCUGUGAAAUCCCGGGGCUUAACCCCGGGCGUGCAGUGGAUACGGGCUGGCUGGAGGCAGGCAGGGGAGAACGGAAUUCCCGGUGUAGCGGUGAAAUGCGUAGAUAUCUGGAGGAACACCGGUGGCGAAGGCGGCAUCCUGGACCGGCAUUGACGCUGAGGCGCGAAAGCCAGGGGAGCAAACGGGG